rnacentral:sRNA from 1 species
GAGGGAGGGAAACUGGGGUCAGGGAUGUGAUAUAGGAGAGAAGAAUGAAUUGAAAAAUAAAGGAAAUACCUUGAAUCAUUUUAGCUUAAAACAUUUUAGGGAGACUUACAUUGUGACCUGUCUAUGCACUUGAGAAAACAUUCACUUUGUCUGUGCCAUCUUCUGUGGUGUCUGUCAGAACCUACUGGUUUAUAAUGUUGCUCGGGGGUUUUUCCCCCCCACUUCCUGUGGUUCUGACCUCAGAAGAUGCAUGUGCUGGAGGCUUGGUCUCCAGCGUGUUGUGCAGAUUGGCGGCCCCUUUGAGAAGUGGGUCCUAGUGGGAAACUAUUAGAUCAUUGAUGGUGCUCUGAGAGUGGGCUGCCAGGUAUGCAAAUGCCCUUGAACCACCCCUACGCCUACAGAUAACCCCUCAUCCAUGCACCUCAGGCCUCCCUAUGGCCAUGAUGCCCUGCAUGCAGCUGCCGGCUAAGGAGAGCGCCCUCUUCAAGCUGAUGCUGGUCAGUGGUGACCCACUCACCUCUGUGCGCUUUCUCUACCUCAGAGCUUGGCUUUCCAUGAUGUAUAUAUGGUCCUUACUAAUAAUUUACUUAUGAAGAAUGCCGGACAAUCCUACCUCUCCUUCUCUUGUACAAAUGGAACAGAAGUGCCACCACUGGAAUGAGCAUAAGCAGAG